AACGAUAGCUGCAGAACGAUAAGGUGGCGGUCUAUAGGCGGCUCCGUCGGCUACCGGACCAGCGCCGGCCCGGGAGCCGCAGCCGGGCCCUUCGUGGGCCGGCCUGAUGAUAACCAAAUUCCGUCUAAUCUCAAAUGACGGAGCGUCCCUCCGUUCUUUUCUUGAUAAGAAUGGCCACUGGCCGUUUCCCAGGCGGCGCCGUUGCCGGGACCGUCAUCGGCCCAGCAGGCACCGCUGCGGCUGCCGACUGGACCUGUGGCCGUGACGGAGGUGGCUACCGGCAUCCGGGUGGUAGAGGCAAUUAUGCCCUUUUACCAGGAUGUCCGGGCCACGGAGUUGGGCCUGGAGCCGGACGCGACCUACCAGCCGCCGACCAGGGGCGCCUCCGCUCAGAGCCGGCUCGCCCGCUGGAGUCCAGCGGAUCUGGCCAUCCUUCUGUGGCACGAGUCCGUUAGGGUCACCCUGGUGAGCUCCGCCGGGCUCCCGUUUG